UACGGAGGGGGCUAGCGUUGUUCGGAAUUACUGGGCGUAAAGCGCACGUAGGCGGACUGACCAGUUGGGGGUGAAAGCCCGAGGCUUAACCUCGGAACUGCCCUCAAUACUGCCAGUCUCGAGUCCGGGAGAGGUGAGUGGAAUUCCUAGUGUAGAGGUGAAAUUCGUAGAUAUUAGGAAGAACACCAGUGGCGAAGGCGGCGCUCUGGCCCGGUACUGACGCUGAGGUGCGAAAGCGUGGGGAGCAAACAGG
rnacentral:rRNA from 1 species